CUAGUAACCAUCUGUUCCCAUACAAAAUUAUUACAAUAUUAUUGACCAUAUUCCUUAUGCUAUAAUAUACAGUGAAGGGGAUUUUGAACUUCUGUCAUUGAAAACAUCGUAAAAGGAACAGCAACUCCCAGGUCAAAGGAAAAGAGUCCUGUUUAUUUCCCUAGAGAGUGGGUCUCUCUCUACAGACAGGACAGCUUAGACGGCAGCAAUGGCCAGGCUGGCUGGAGACUCCCACUGAGCCCACGCUGGAGAGCUGUUGCUGCCACAUUGCUGCUGCUGCUGCUGCUGCUGCUGCUAAGUCGCUUCAGUUGUGUCCGACUCUGUGCAAUCCCAGAGACGGCAGCCCACCAGGCUCCCCCGUCCCUGGGAUUCUCCAGGCAAGAACACUGGAGUGGGUUGCCAUUUCCUUCUCCAAUGCGUGAAAGUGAAAAGUGAAAGUGAAGUCGCUCAGUCGUGUCUGACUCUUCGAGACCCCAUGGACUACAGCCUACCAGGCUCCUCUGUCCAUGGGAUUUUCCAGGCAAGAGUACUGGAGUGGGGUGCCCUUGGGGCUUGUUUUUCCUGACUAAUUGCUUCCCCUUAAUGCCGUCUAUGGGGUCGCACAGAGUCGGCCACGACUGAAGCGACUUAGCAGCAGCAGCAGCAAAUGAUGACUGUGACUUAGAAUCCUUAGGCUUUGGCUCCCCCGAGUGUGUGCCAUGGAAGGGACCUUAGACAUCUCCAAGUUCAGCCCCUUCAUUUUAAAGAAGGAAGUCCAGAGAGGGACGUCCUCAGAGCACACACAGCUGGAUGGAGGCAGCACCAAGACUUGAACCUGAGACUCCAGAGGACUUGCCCAGUGCUCUGUCCACUCUGCCAUGCCCCCUGUAUUCAUGCUACACAAGCUCAGCCAUUCAUUCUCUUAACACUACUGACACUCACUCUAUGCUAUUUUCUCUUUGUGCCUGGACAGAAUUGGAAAUAUCUAAAGACACAGGAUGACAUGGCAUGUCAGUGAUCCCAUCAGAGCUGCACAGCUCGGGGGUGGGGGGAUCAGUUCCCUUCCCCUUGGUCAAGAGUAUUUACCAAUGUCAUGCAGUCGUUAUGCAAAAAGGGGGGGGCAGAAAUGAGAUGGAGUCAGGCAGGUGAUGGGGCAAUUGUGCACACAGGGCAGCCUAGAUGGCAGCAACGGCCAGGCUGGCUGGAGACUGCCACUGAGCCCACACUGGAGGCUUGAGUUCGAAGGAACCUCUGGGAGGCGGAUGCUUUGAAGCUGUAACAACUGUGACCUCCAGGGGGCAGUGUUUUGCCACAUCCUGCUCGGUCCAAGGCACUUCCACGCACAGAAAGCAAAUCUUUUAAGGGAACAGAGGGGUGUUUAAAACAAGAGUCUAACUAUGGGGAGAAAAAGAAAGACAGAACAGUCUGGACUUGAAAUUGAUCUCAGGAAGGCAGUCAUUUUAUCGUUUUGCCUGUCUCUUCUCUUACUCAGGCAAUUAGAUAGUCGGCAGAGCUGAAAGGUUGGGGAAUUACGUCUCUGGGUCCAGCCCCUUUCAAGUGGUCCUUCUCCUGUCUGUUGUCCAGAGUUGUUCAUAUCCUUAUAUACCCUCUGGGGGCAUUCAGUGGUCUCAGAAAGAAUGGCCUAGAAUCUGGCUAGAAGGGUCUAGAACUUGCUGCAGCCUGGGCAGCCUGGAGACCGUCCACCUUCUUCUCCACUGACCUCCACCAGGCUGCAAAGUUGGCCCAACUGCUCACCUCGCAUCCAUCUGCUCAGAACCAGGCCAGUGCUGCCGCUUGACUCAUUACUGACCACUCCGCCUGGAUAUUAAGCACUUUAGGCUCUGCUGGGGGAUGGUUAAUCAACAACCUUGUCAGAGUGAUGGAUUCUUCUAGGAUUAUUGCUUAAUGAGCUUGUUUAGAGGUAAAAAUCAACCAGGACAUCAGUUCUCAGGGAGCAGGAAGGAGGGGAGCAGUGAGCUUGGAGGUGGUGAGAGGGAUCUCAGAUAUUCUAAGCAGCAGUGAGGGGCUGGGGGUGGGGAAGCAUGGCAAGAGGCCUCUGACCAGAGCAGAACUUAAGCUUGGAUUCAUCAGGCAUUUCACAGCCGCCCUGGUUGCUGCAGCCCAGAGCAUUUCACCACUCAGUGGAGCUGCAAAAGCAGUGAUUCCUAGGUGAUUCCUUAGUGAUUCCUAAGUCAUCCAAGGACCACAGGCAUCACUUGCUGUGCUUAGUCACUCAGUUGUCUCCAACUCUUUGUGACCUUGUGGACUGCAGCCCACCAGGCUCCUCUGUCCAUGGGGAUUCUCCAGGCAAGAAUACUAGAAUGGGUUGCCAUGCCCUCCUCCAGGGAAUCUUUCCAAUCCAGGUACUGAACCCAGGUCUCCCACACUGCAGGUGGAUUCUUUACCGUCUGAGCCACAAGGGAAGCCCUUGAGCUUUAAAAAAAAAAAAAAAGCAGAUUCACAGACUAGUCUAGUGUCAGACUUUCUGGAUCAGAAUUUCUAAAGCUUGUUAUAAAAGUUAUUCCAGGUGACUUUUAUGCACAAUGAAGUCUGAGAGGCACAACCUGAUUGGCAUCGUAAGUCAGCAUUUCCACCGGCAACAGAUUUUGAAUGAUUGGGCUCUAUGGCCUCCACUCCCAUCAACACCCAUAGACCUCAGCCUUCCUCCUUCUGUUUUAAUCUCUUGUCACUGGUCUCUCCCAUCUUAUUUGUCUGUAUUGCUCCCUGCAUGCCUCAUCUGUCCUCUCCCUGUCUGUCUGAAUCAUCCUCCCCCCACCACCCCAGCUCUCCAUCUCCAUCUGCUUGUUGUUCCCUCUCCCCACAUUUUUCUCUUUCCUCUGCACUUAAGAUUUGGAAGGCAGCAGAGAGGCAGAAGCCUUAUUCUGCCUCUGGGCAGGGUGGGCAGACACGUGGGCUUCAGAAGUUGUGAAAUUUUGUCCAGAAAUUCACCCGCUUAGGGCUACAGGCAGCCGUGACCAUUUCUGGCCACUCCCUAUAAUGUCUGGUGAGGGUGGAGGUAGCAGCUUCAUCGUUCUCUCUUGGUGGUGAACCUGGGACUUAGUGGCGAUCUUGUCUGGCCUAGGACUUCCCUGGUGGCUCAGACUGUAAAGCAUCUGCCCGCAAUGCGGGAUACCCGGGUUCGAUCUCUGGGUCAGGAAGAUCCCCUGGAGAAGAAAGUGGCAACACACUCCAGUACUCUUGCCUGGAAAAUUCCAAGGAUAGAGGAGCCUGGUGGACUACAGUCCGUGAGGUCGCAAAGAGUAGGAUAGGACUGAGCGACUUCACUUUCUUUCUUUCUCUGGCCUGUGCUCCUCCAGCUGAUCCAACAGCUUUGUGAGCAACUCGCUCCCUGUGUUAAACUCCUCCUUCGUAAGAUACCUUGAGCGGCUCCUGUUUUACACUUGCUUGAUGCUGCCUGCUGCACUCUCUCUGUUCCUCCCUCCCACCUAACCUUACUUCUAUUCCACAGCCUCUCCCCUUUCCCUGUUCCCAGCCUCGCCUCCUAAUUGGCUAUUAUAUGAAACUUAAGGCUUUAAAUGUUUACAUUGGAUAAGUUAUAGUGUCUCCAUUCUUAAUUUAAAACACAAGUGAAUUGAAUGUGAGGCUCAUGUUCUUGAGAUUGGGAAACCCAUCACUGGACUGAGUUGGUUAUCAUCUAAGGACCUUGUGGACUCUGUCCUGGGGGUCAGGGCCCUGAUGGGGCAUAGGGGUUAGGGAGGGAAGGGGCAUACAUGUGCUGUGCUGCUCCACUGCAAUCCUGCCUCUGCCUGGAGGUGGUGAGGAGCAAGUGCUCAAAGGAAACUGGUUCUGUUCUAGGGAGAAGCAAGACUGAUGUCAUCCCUGAUCAGUGGGCUUGCAUAUGGAACUGUUCUCUGGGGCUGGGCUUCCCUGGUGGGUGGGUGGGUGGGUGGGUGUGUGCUGUUCUCUAGGGCUGGGCUUCCCUGGUGUGUGUGUGUGUGUGUGUGUGUGUGUGUGUGUGCGUGCACUUUCAGAUGUCCAUCCUCACUAGGGUCACCCCCGGCUCUGGGGAAGCAAGACUGUUCUUCCUGCUCCUCCACUUGAGGGCUCCCCAGGCGAAGUUGGGUUUCAGUCCAGGUGUUUGGUUCAACAAAGUGUGCAGGCGUGUUGGACUUUCUACCUGGAAGCACAGGUAGGUGAAGGUCAUCUCUGAGUCCUGCCAAAAUAGCUCAUUCAUUUUUUUUUUUGAACUUUCUCCUUUUAUUUUAAAACAGUCUGUCUUGAUUGGUCAGGACUCAUUGUUUUGCAUAACAGCCUAGGACUUGGGGUCUUCAGGCAUUAGCUCUGUCUACCUCUGAAGCCCAGGCUAUGCUGCGUGUCUCACCCUGCUGUGCUACUGAAAUGACUGCACACCCUUAGCAGCAGCCCCUGUGAGAGGCAGUUAGUUGGCUGUGUGUUUGUUCCUUGAUCAGGACACAUCCGCAUCCAAAUGCUAACCUAGUUCCUGAGUGUGGGUAUUUGCAUGAUGACAUACCCUUGCCCAUGCCACCGACAUUUUGAUUGUUUCUUCUCAGAAAAGUCACACUCUGGAAGGUUCCUGCCCUCCUAUUCUUGACACACACAUUUGCAAGUAUUCCCUCACCGGAGAGAUGCAUCCAGGAAUGAGUUCUCAAAUGCCAGUUCUCCUGAGUGAGGUCUGGCCUGGUCACUCUGGAAUCUCUUCUGUACUCUGGUGGGUCGUGAUCUUUUGGAACUAUCUGAUGACUUUACAGAUUAGGAGGGAGGGAGGUGCUUGCCUUGCUGGUUGGAUUUCCCCUUUCCCAAAGGUAUUUUUCAUCCAGAACUAAGAUCUUACUCGUCAUGAAGUUGAAGACCUUUACGGGAACCAUGUUUUAUUUUGCCAUCUGGCUGUGAAACAGUCAGGAUUCAGAUAUCAGAGAGUAUGAUUAAUUCUGCAGACACCCACUGAUCCACUCCCAUGUCACGCACAGCAUCCUGUGGCUGGACAGACUGAGAAAUGACUGGGUUGGUGGGAGGGGACCGAGAUGCGGCUUUUCCCCUGCUUUCCCACAAGGGAACAUCUUCUGCUUCUUUCUCUUGGGAUUCCAGGUUGGUGUCCUGAAAUAUUCAGAUAACCUGUUUUAUGACCUUGGGCGAACCAGAGCUUGACCCAGCUGAGGACCCGGCCCAGGCUCCUUGGAGGCAGGUUUGACUGCAUCUAGGCAGGGCAGGCUUUGAUGUAUAUCACCCAGGGGGGCAGCACAGCCCAAUGGAACAAGAGCCAGAUUCUCAUCCUAGG
ensembl:lncRNA